rnacentral:lncRNA from 7 species
GAUCCCUGCAUGGAGAACGAGGGAUCGACAAUGCCCAAUUGAGUUGGAGAGUGGAGCUGCCAUCGCGACUCAGGUGCUUUCCCGAGUGCGAUGCUCGGUCUGAGGCAUGUGUUCGUGGUCAGAUGGUCAGAAAUGAGCCAUCCCUACCUUAUGCUUACGGGUUA